UGGGGAAUAUUGCACAAUGGGGGAAACCCUGAUGCAGCAACGCCGCGUGAGUGAUGACGGCCUUCGGGUUGUAAAGCUCUGUCUUCAGGGACGAUAAUGACGGUACCUGAGGAGGAAGCCACGGCUAACUACGUGCCAGCAGCCGCGGUAAUACGUAGGUGGCGAGCGUUGUCCGGAUUUACUGGGCGUAAAGGGAGCGUGGGCGGACUUUUAAGUGAGAUGUGAAAUACCCGGGCUCAACUUGGGUGCUGCAUUUCAAACUGGAAGUCUAGAGUGCAGGAGAGGAGAAUGGAAUUCCUAGUGUAGCGGUGAAAUGCGUAGAUAUUAGGAGGAACACCAGUGGCGAAGGCGACUUUCUGGACUGUAACUGACACUGAGGCACGAAAGCGUGGGGAGCAAACA
rnacentral:rRNA from 1 species